UACGUAGGGGGCAAGCGUUGUCCGGAAUCAUUGGGCGUAAAGAGCGUGUAGGCGGCUCGAUAAGUCCGCUCUGAAAGCCCGGGGCUCAACCCCGGGAGGCGGGCGGAAACUGUCGGGCUAGAGUCCGGAAGAGGCGAGUGGAAUUCCCGGUGUAGCGGUGAAAUGCGCAGAUAUCGGGAGGAACACCAAUGGCGAAGGCAGCUCGCUGGGACGUGACUGACGCUGAGACGGCGAAAGCGUGGGGAGCAAACAGG
rnacentral:rRNA from 1 species